rnacentral:rRNA from 1 species
GACGAACGCUGGCGGCGUGCUUAACACAUGCAAGUCGAACGGAAAGGCCCCUUUGGGGGUACUCGAGUGGCGAACGGGUGAGUAACACGUGAGUAACCUGCCCUUGACUUCGGGAUAACUUCAGGAAACUGGGGCUAAUACCGGAUAGGAAUCCUUGCUGCAUGGUGGGGGUUGGAAAGCUUCGGCGGUUUUGGAUGGACUCGCGGCUUAUCAGCUUGUUGGUGGGGUAGUGGCUUACCAAGGCUUUGACGGGUAGCCGGCCUGAGAGGGCGACCGGCCACAUUGGGAUUGAGAUACGGCCCAGACUCCUACGGGAGGCAGCAGUGGGGAAUAUUGCACAAUGGGCGGAAGCCUGAUGCAGCAACGCCGCGUGCGGGAUGACGGCCUUCGGGUUGUAAACCGCUUUCAGCAGGGGCGAAGCUUGUGGUGACGGUACCUGCAGAAGAAGCACCGGCUAACUACGUG